rnacentral:rRNA from 1 species
GAUGAACGCUGGCGGCGUGCCUAAUACAUGCAAGUCGAGCGAACGGACGAGAAGCUUGCUUCUCUGAUGUUAGCGGCGGACGGGUGAGUAACACGUGGAUAACCCACCUAUAAGACUGGGAUCACUUCGGGAAACCGGAUCUAAUACCGGAUAAUAUUUUGAACCGCAUGGUUCAAAAGUGAAAGACGGUCUUGCUGUCACUUAUAGAUUGAUCCGCGCUGCUUUAGCUAGUUGGUAAGGUAACGGCUUACCGAGGCAACGAUGCGUCGCCGAACUGGGAGGGUGAUCGCCCACUAUAGGACUGAGACACGGUCCAGACCCCUACGGGAGGCAGCACUAGUGAAUCUUCCGCAAAUGGCGAAAACCUGACGGAGCAACGCCGCGUGCGUGAUGAAGGUCUUCGGAUGGUAAAAAUGUGUUAUUAGGGAAGAACAGAUGGGUAAGUAACUGUGCACAUCUUGACGGUACCUAAUCAGAAAGCCACGAGUAACUACGUG